rnacentral:rRNA from 1 species
GACGAACGCUGGCGGCGUGCUUAACACAUGCAAGUCGAACGGAAAGGCCCUGCUUUUGUGGGGUGCUCGAGUGGCGAACGGGUGAGUAACACGUGAGUAACCUGCCCUUGACUUUGGGAUAACUUCAGGAAACUGGGGCUAAUACCGGAUAGGAGCUCCUGCUGCAUGGUGGGGGUUGGAAUGUUUCGGCGGUUGGGGAUGGACUCGCGGCUUAUCAGCUUGUUGGUGGGGUAGUGGCUUGCCAAGGCUUUGACGGGUAGCCGGCCUGAGAGGGUGACCGGCCACAUUGGGACUGAGAUACGGCCCAGACUCCUACGGGAGGCAGCAGUGGGGAAUAUUGCACAAUGGGCGGAAGCCUGAUGCAGCAACGCCGCGUGCGGGAUGACGGCCUUCGGGUUGUAAACCGCUUUCGCCUGUGACGAAGCGUGAGUGACGGUAAUGGGUAAAGAAGCACCGGCUAACUACGUG